ensembl:lncRNA
GGAACGGAUUAAUUGAGCCCUCUCUUUUAGAACUGUAUUUAUUAAAAAUUCAAGGUGGAGAACAUAUGAGGAAACCAAUAACCAAUGUGUAUAGAAUCAUUGCUUCAAUGACAAAAGAUAAUUCUUGUUAUGUGAAGGACAAGUUGAUUAGAGAGCUACAGCUCGAAAUAAGUGAAGAAGUAUGGUUGGAGAUAUGUACUCAGGCUCACAAAGUCACGAACGCCAAUUUGUGGAAAGAAUUUCAAUGGAGGAUAAAUAACCGAUUUUUUAGAACACCACAAGUUUUGCCUAAAAUGAAUCCGAAUCAACCCAGUAAAUGCUGGAGGGAGUGUGGAGAGACGAUGGCUACUGUGACGACCCUGGUGAGUCUUUGACUCCACCCUUUGCUUUGACUCCACCCUUUGCUUUGACUCCACCCUGGCUGUUUGGUUUGCCUGUUUUCCCUCUCUCUUAAUAGGUGAUGCAGUUCAGGUGUGCCGGGUUUGGCAGCAAGUUAAAAGCCUGCAGUCGCAACAGUCAAGGGCGCUCCCUCCUCCCGGCGUGUUGGUUUUCGUUGUCCUUUGUUUGGUUACACAUAGACUGACUUUGCUUGACACUUUUGGGUUACUUACAUUUAACUGAUUUACACCACACUUCUUUAUCUUUAAUUAAUUUCAUUCUCUGUAAAAUUAUCUUACUUUAAUAAAUUCUUUAUUAUUGUAAAACGGCGUGGUCUCCCCCAUUUCAUGUUCAUGCUAGAGCCAGCAUGUGACAUAUGGGGGCUCGUCCGGGAUCGAUUUUCCAAAAUUUGUGGUUUGCUUUGGUUGAUUUGCCGAGGAGGAGGAGUGCCAUUCUGGAGGCUACCUGCGGUUUCUGACGUUUGCGUUGCAGAUUACUUUUCCAGGGCCCGGAAUUGCUGUGGGUCAGGAGGUCGGGUGACGUGAGGAGUGGUGAAAGUGUGUGUAUGGGGGGGGGUUUCUAGUUGAUCCGGUAGGAGUGUUGAUGUAACUGGUGUUGGUUGAGGGGAUUGGUAGGGCUUAUGUGUUUUGGGGUUUGUUAUUUUUGAUACCAUAAGUGCAGAAUCCCACUUGGGUGGGCUUCUGUCUUAAGGGGGGGGGAUGUGACGACCCUGGUGAGUCUUUGACUCCACCCUUUGCUUUGACUCCACCCUUUGCUUUGACUCCACCCUGGCUGUUUGGUUUGCCUGUUUUCCCUCUCUCUUAAUAGGUGAUGCAGUUCAGGUGUGCCGGGUUUGGCAGCAAGUUAAAAGCCUGCAGUCGCAACAGUCAAGGGCGCUCCCUCCUCCCGGCGUGUUGGUUUUCGUUGUCCUUUGUUUGGUUACACAUAGACUGACUUUGCUUGACACUUUUGGGUUACUUACAUUUAACUGAUUUACACCACACUUCUUUAUCUUUAAUUAAUUUCAUUCUCUGUAAAAUUAUCUUACUUUAAUAAAUUCUUUAUUAUUGUAAAACGGCGUGGUCUCCCCCAUUUCAUGUUCAUGCUAGAGCCAGCAUGUGACACUACUCAUUCACAUAUUUUUUGGCAAUGCCCAUUGUUAGAUAACUUUUGGAAAUCCGUAUUUGCCUAUAUCAAUAAAGUAUUGAAUGUUGAAUUGAUGAGAGACCCUCUGGUAGCAAUUCUAGGAAUUAAACCAGUUGUGAUACACAGUAGGAAUAAUAUGUAGGGGAGAGCCGGGUCGAUUGAAACACUUUUCAGUUAAACGUCUUUUUCAAAGAUGAUGUUACGUAUACAAAUAAUUUUAACAUGUGCUCAACAACUCACAUGUGGGUUCUCUUAGUUACAAGUGAAAUUUAAUACAUAUGUUGGAUGAUCGAGCUGUUUUUUAACUUGUUUAAAAUGCCCCGCCUAUUCGGGACGUUUGAAACAAACAUGCGGGACGAAUGAAACAGCAUAUUUUAAAAAUAAUCUAUUGCCCUUAUUCUUGUUUUUAUGCAACAUACCAGACAACAUACUAGUGUACUCGUCAUUGCUAAAAUUUCACAUAAUUCCGCAUAAUAUAAAUAGGU